AUUGAACGCUGGCGGAAUGCUUUACACAUGCAAGUCGAACGGCAGCACGGGGGCAACCCUGGUGGCGAGUGGCGAACGGGUGAGUAAUAUAUCGGAACGUGCCCAGUCGUGGGGGAUAACGUAGCGAAAGUUACGCUAAUACCGCAUACGAUCUACGGAUGAAAGCGGGGGAUGGCAAGACCUCGCGCGAUUGGAGCGGCCGAUAUCAGAUUAGGUAGUUGGUGGGGAAAAGGCUAACCAAGCCAACGAUCUGUAGCUGGUCUGGGAGGACGACCAGCCACACUGGGACUGAGACACGGCCCAGACUCCUACGGGAGGCAGCAGUGGGGAAUUUUGGACAAUGGGCGCAAGCCUGAUUCAGCCAUUCCGCGUGCAGGACGAAGGCCUUCGGGUUGUAAACUGCUUUUGUACGGAACGAAAAAGCCUUGGCUAAUACCCAGGGUCCAUGACGGUACCGUAAGAAUAAGCACCGGCUAACUACGUGCCAGCCGCCGCAGUAA
rnacentral:rRNA from 1 species